rnacentral:rRNA from 1 species
CGCUGAAAGCAUCUAAGCGUGAAACCUUCCACAAGAUGAGUUUACUUUUAAGGGCUGUCAGAGACUAUGACGUUGAUAGGCUACAGGUGUAAAGUUGGCAACAACAAAGCCAAGUAGUACUAAUUGCCCGUAUGCUUUAUUUUUUU